rnacentral:rRNA from 1 species
ACCAGACUCCUACGGGAGGCAGCAGUGGGGGAUAUUGCACAAUGGGGGGAACCCUGAUGCAGCGACGCCGCGUGGGUGAAGAAGCGCCUCGGCGCGUAAAGCCCUGUCAGCAGGGAAGAAAAUGACGGUACCUGAAGAAGAAGCCCCGGCUAACUACGUGCCAGCAGCCGCGGUAAUACGUAGGGGGCAAGCGUUAUCCGGAUUUACUGGGUGUAAAGGGGGCGCAGACGGCGAUGCAAGCCAGGAGUGAAAGCCCGGGGCCCAACCCCGGGACUGCUCUUGGAACUGCGUGGCUGGAGUGCAGGAGGGGCAGGCGGAAUUCCUGGUGUAGCGGUGAAAUGCGUAGAUAUCAGGAGGAACACCGGUGGCGAAGGCGGCCUGCUGGACCGUGACUGACGUUGAGGCUCGAGAGCGUGGGGAGCAAACAGGAUUAGAUACCCGUGUA